rnacentral:rRNA from 1 species
AUUGAACGCUGGCGGCAGGCUUAACACAUGCAAGUCGAGCGGGGUGAUGGUGCUUGCACUAUCACUUAGCGGCGGACGGGUGAGUAAUGCUUAGGAAUCUGCCUAUUAGUGGGGGACAACAUCUCGAAAGGGAUGCUAAUACCGCAUACGUCCUACGGGAGAAAGCAGGGGAUCACUGGUGACCUUGCGCUAAUAGAUGAGCCUAAGUCGGAUUAGCUAGUUGGUGGGGUAAAGGCCUACCAAGGCGACGAUCUGUAGCGGGUCUGAGAGGAUGAUCCGCCACACUGGGACUGAGACACGGCCAAGACUCCUACGGGAGGCAGCAGUGGGGAAUAUUGGACAAUGGGGGGGAACCCUGAUCCAGCCAUGCCGCGUGUGUGAAGAAGGCCUUAUGGUUGUAAAGCACUUUAAGCGAGGAGGAGGCUCUUUUGGUUAAUACCCAAGAUGAGUGGACGUUACUCGCAGAAUAAGCACCGGCUAACUCUGUGCCAGCAGCCGCAGUAA